rnacentral:rRNA from 1 species
UUUUCCGGUUGAUCCUGCCGGAGGCCACUGCUAUUGGGAUCCGACUAAGCCAUGCGAGUCGAGAGGGUUCGGCCCUCGGCAGACGGCUCAGUAACACGUGGAUAAUCUACCCUUAGGUGGAGGAUAACCUCGGGAAACUGAGAAUAAUACUCCAUAGGUCUAGAAUGCUGGAAUGCAUCUAGGCUGAAAGUUCAGGCGCCUUAGGAUGAGUCUGCGGACUAUCAGGUAGUAGUCAGGGUAAUGACCUGACUAGCCUACGACGGAUACGGGUUGUGAGAGCAAUUGCCCGGAGACGAUAUCUGAGACACGAUAUCGGGCCCUACGGGGCGCAGCAGGCGCGAAACCUUCACACUGUGCGAGAGCACGAUGAGGGGAUCCCAAGUGCUUGCUCGUAAGAGUAAGCUGUUUUUAUGUCUAAAAAGCAUAGAGAGUAAGGGCUGGGUAAGACGGGUGCCAGCCGCCGCGGUAAUACCUGCAGCUCAAGUAGUGACCGCUAUUAUUGGGCCUAAAACGUUCGUAGCCGGUUUGGUAAAUGCCUGGGUAAAUCGUGUAGCUUAACUAUACGAAUUCCGGGUAGACUGUUAAGCUUGAGACCGGGAGAAGUUAGAGGUACUCCUGGGGUAGAGGUGAAAUUCUGUAAUCCUAGGGGGACCACCAGUGGCGAAGGCGUCUGACUAGAACGGGUCUGACGGUGAGGGACGAAGCCCUGGGGCGCAAACGGGAUUAGAUACCCCGGUAGUCCAGGGUGUAAACGCUGCUUGCUUGAUGUUAGUCGGGCUCCGAGCCCGAUUAGUGUCGGAGAGAAGUUGUUAAGCAAGCUGCCUGGGAAGUACGGUCGCAAGACUGAAACUUAAAGGAAUCGGCGGGGGAGCAC